rnacentral:sRNA from 12 species
AUCCUAUACAGAUGUAUUCAACGCAAGCCAGUUGGGCAUCUCCCUGUAGGAUAAAGUUUAUCAGAAGUUCUAGCAACAAUUCUCAUUGUGUGGCUCUACGGUCGAAAUGGGAUGAGUUAGGGUGGAAUAGGUUAACCGUAAGACCUUGAGUUGCAAGACUCUAAAAUUGACCUAGAGGUGUGGAUUUCUUAAUUUUCGCAUUUUCUAGUUACGGCAUA